rnacentral:sRNA from 1 species
AAUAGGAAUAAUAUAUGACGAGUUGCCGCUGACCGGAGGGAGUGGGCGCAACAUAUU